rnacentral:rRNA from 1 species
UCUGGUUGAUCCUGCCAGUAGUCAUAUGCUUGUCUCAAAGAUUAAGCCAUGCAUGUCUAAGUAUAAAUAGUAUACAGUGAAACUGCGAAUGGCUCAUUAAAACAGUUAUAGUUUAUUUGAUAAUUGACAAUUACAUGGAUAACCGUGGUAAUUCUAGAGCUAAUACAUGCUUAAACGCCCGACUUUACGGAAGGGUGGUAUUUAUUAGACUGAAGCCAAUAUUCCUUGUGUCUAUUGCGGUGAUUCAUAAUAACUGAUCGAAUCUCUUUUUGAGAUAAAUCAUUCAAGUUUCUGCCCUAUCAGCUUUCGAUGGUAGUGUAUUGGACUACCAUGGCAGUAACGGGUAACGAAGAAUUAGGGUUCGAUUUCGGAGAGGGAGCAUGAGAAACGGCUACCACAUCUAAGGAAGGCAGCAGGCGCGUAAAUUACCCAAUCCUGACUCAGGGAGGUAGUGACAAGAAAUAGCAAACCGGGAACCUCAUGGUUUCACGGUAUUGCAAUGAGAACAAUUUAAAACCCUUAGCGAGAAUCAAGUGGAGGACAAGUCUGGUGCCAGCACCCGCGGUAAUUCCAGCUCCACUAGCGUAUAUUAAAGUUGUUGCAGUUAAAAAGCUCGUAGUUGAACCUCUGUCUGGGGCUAGUUUUGGCUUUGGUCAGGCUAGUUCUAGGCAUCCGCCUACAAGACUUAGAGGGCAUUCAGUUGUUCACUAGGAGGAGUAGGCAUUUUACUUUGAAAAAAUUAGAGUGUUUAAGGCAGGCAAUCGCCCGCAUAUAUUAGCAUGGAAUAAUAGAAUAGGACACUUUUCCAUUUCGUUGGUUAUUGGAAUCGUGUAAUGAUUAAUAGGGACAGUUGUGGGCAUUUGUAUUUAAUUGUCAGAGGUGAAAUUCUUGGAUUUAUUAAAGACAAACUAACGCGAAAGCAUUUGCCAAGGAUGUUUUCAUUAAUCAAGAACGAAAGUUAGGGGAUCAAAGACGAUCAGAUACCGUCCUAGUCUUAACUAUAAACUAUUCCGACUCAAUGUUUGACUGGCUUAUAUAACCAGUUGAGCGUUGUAUGAGAAAUCAAAGUCUUUAGGUUCUGGGGGGAGUAUGGUUGCAAAGCUGAAACUUAAAGGAAUUGACGGAAGAGCACAACCAGGAGUGGAUUCUGCGGCUUAAUUUGACUCAACUCGGGGAAACUUACCAGGUUAAAACAAUAGUGGGAUUGACAGUUUGAGAGCGCUUUCUUGAUUGGUUGGGUGGUGGUGCAUGGCCGUUCUUAGUUGGUGGAGUGAUUUGUCUGCUUAAUUGCGUUAACGAACGAGACCUUAACCUGCUUACUAGACUGGCGAUCAUCAAUCGUUAGCUCUUCUUAGAGGGACAUUGGUUGUU